rnacentral:ncRNA from 1 species
AUCUUCAGGGCAGGGUGGAAGUCCCUACCGGCGGUACAGCCCGCGAGCCGAAAGGCAGACUCGGUGUGACUCCGAGGCCGACAGUGAGAGUCUGGAUGGAAGAAGAU